UGAAGUCAAUAUUCAGCAUAAUCCAUUUGUCAUCAUUUGCCACGUAAUGACGACCAUUGUUGAAGCUGGCCAGGAAUUCUAAGCUGUCAUCAAUCCUGCAGCUGUAGUGUGCCUAUGCAUGUUUUGUAAAUGCUGAAUCCAAGAACUUUGAGUAUUCAUUUCACUUCAUUGACUUUCUUUCCCGAUUUUAAUAAUGAUGAUCAAUUGCAAGUACUUACCUGAGCAGCUGAGCUCUCUUCCUUUCAGUGGUUCCUUUCAAUUGAUUCAUUUGAGUUAAAUCCCUCGCUGCUGUUCCAGACCUUAUUCACUAGUGCAAUAUGCAGCUGAGAGAUGUAAAGAGGAGCUUGCUUUCAAUCAACAACAAUAAAAAAUUGUGUAGACGUAGAUAAAUUACGAGUGCAUAUCUGGGCUCCCUUCUUUUCUGUGGCCCCGUUUCCCUGACUAACCACUAAUCAACGCCCGCCGGUGGUCACUCACCCGCUGUGAAACCAGGAGGAUGAGGAGGGCUCUGGUCGAACGGGGACUUGGAAGGCGCAUGAUCCGAGGAAGACUUUUGGAGGUUCAUGAGUCUAACCUGGAAGCCUAGUAAGACUAAUCUCUCCCUAGUAAAACUGGCCUCGCACUCUUCUCUCUUCUUCCUUGGGCAGAGUCCAUUAAGACAAGAGUCUCCUCCUGUGUUGAUUGAUUGUACGAAUAGUAGCAAGUUAGUCGGUCAAAAAGUGCUGGUUUAAUUGGCUUGCUAAAUUUCGCAUAGAGAAAAGAAUGUUUUAAACCGUACUCUCUGUUUAUUAAAUAUAUACGUCGUACAAAAAA
rnacentral:lncRNA from 1 species